UACGUAGGGUGCGAGCGUUAAUCGGAUUUACUGGGCGUAAAGCGUGCGCAGGCGGCCCGUUAAGACAGGUGUGAAAUCCCUGGGCUCAACCUAGGAAUUGCGCUUGUGACUGGCGGGCUCGAGUACGGGAGAGGGGGGUGGAAUUCCUGGUGUAGCAGUGAAAUGCGUAGAGAUCAGGAGGAACACCGAUGGCGAAGGCAGCCCCCUGGGCCUGUACUGACGCUCAUGCACGAAAGCGUGGGGAGCAAACAGG
rnacentral:rRNA from 1 species